rnacentral:rRNA from 1 species
UGUCACAUGGAGCGCGGACAGCUCGGUGAAUGCGGGGGCUCCGUGCGGUAAGCGGCGUGACGGUGCGUAAGGUGUGCGCUGGGGUUUUGUGAAGCGAGGUGUGAAAGCCAGUGGCUCAACCUAGGAAUAGCAUGUCGAACUGGCGAACUAGAGUCGUGUAGAGGGGGGUAGAAUUCCGGGUGUAGCGGUGAAAUGCGUAGAGAUCUGGAGGAAUACCGGUGGCGAAGGCGGCCCCCUGGACAAAGACUGACGCUCAUGCACGAAAGCGUGGGGAGCAAACAGGAUUAGAUACCCGUGAGUC